CCUGCUGCCGUCCCCGCGCGCGGCCCGCUGCUACCAAGGACCUUGACCUCUCGCGGACCCCGUCGCCUCCUUUAGCUCUCCCUGACCUGCUUUUGAACCCGCUAAUCCAGUCCGAACUCUCGCCCCGCAGCGAUCCUUCGCCCGGGCCCGGCGCGCUAAUUCCCACUGACCCCCGCCGCCUCUCACUGUUCUGCAGGCUUUGAAGGGUGCGGCCUUCGCGUGCGGUGCUAUCCGGUGCACGGGCUCAGACCGCCCGGCCUCGCUGCAACCCACGUACACGCCCUGGGACCCAAACUAGCAGUCUCGAGUUGCAAACAUUCUUUCCUUUCCUUUUUCUUUCUCUUGUUUCCCCUUACUUUAAUUCGUUUCUUUAAGAAACCUAUCACACCCACAGAGAUCAAAAUUGUAGGUAACAUACUAAGUUGGCGAGGCUGUUGGGGAAGCGGACACUUUCACACGAGGCUGGCAAGCAAGGAGGGCGCAGAAAGGGUAAGCUGAGUCGGGCUACCAAGGAGCAAGCGCCUAGGGUGACGGCGGAAAGGGCAGGCGGGAGAACAGAGGACAGUG
rfam:Felis catus isolate Cinnamon breed Abyssinian chromosome A3, whole genome shotgun sequence.